GAUGAACGCUGGCGGCGUGCUUAACACAUGCAAGUCGAGCGAAGCACUUAGGUUCGAUUCUUCGGAUUGAAGACUUUUGUGACUGAGCGGCGACGGGUGAGGUAACGCGUGGUAACCUGCCUCGAUACAGGGGGAUAACAGUUAGAAAUGGCUGCUAAUACCGCAUAAGACCACGGUACUGCAUGGUACAGUGGUAAAAACUCCGGUAGGUAUGAGAUGGACCCGCGUCUGAUUAGGUAGUUGGUGAGGUUAACGGCCCGACCAAGCCGACGAUCAGUAGCCGACCUGAGAGGGUGACCGGCCACAUUGGGACUGAGACACGGCCCAG
rnacentral:rRNA from 1 species